CGCCUCCCGUCGCCACGAGCCAGGGAGCGCCAGUCCUCCAGCAUCCCUUCGUCAAAAUCCAACAGUAAAUAAGGCGAAGUCAUGUUGCUCAACUUCUCUGACGUGUUCGCUGCAAGUUCCGCGAAAGACAGCAUCUCAUUCGUCUCAGAAUAAAGGCGAGAUGUGAGCCAAGGCCACGAGGAGUCUAUAGACCAAGAUGGGCAGCCGGAUGAUGUCACCUACAUUCCCUUCGAUGCAAAAAUGAUGAUAGGCGACUCAAAAAAAUGUGAAGGCUAUGUCUUUGUUGGGCUGCUUCUUCUUCUCCGGCCGUGAGGUGAAGCAGCCCAGGCAUGUUUGUAUCAGUAAUUCCUGAACUCCAGAGUUUAAAAGAUAUUGACGAGCAAAUUGAAUUCUUGCUCUUGUGAGGUUUUUGAUUCUGAGUGACUUCCUUCCUUGUAGAUAAAUAAACACGCAUUGAGUAAGUGUG